CAGUAGCCACGGUAAUACGUAGGGUGCGAGCGUUAAUCGGAAUUACUGGGCGUAAAGCGUGCGCAGGCGGUUCGUUAAGACAGAUGUGAAAUCCCCGGGCUUAACCUGGGAACUGCAUUUGUGACUGGCGAGCUAGAGUAUGGCAGAGGGGGGUAGAAUUCCACGUGUAGCAGUGAAAUGCGUAGAGAUGUGGAGGAAUACCGAUGGCGAAGGCAGCCCCCUGGGCCAAUACUGACGCUCAUGCACGAAAGCGUGGGGAGCAAACAGGAUUAGAUACCCGAGUAGUCCCUGUCUCUUAUAC
rnacentral:rRNA from 1 species